rnacentral:rRNA from 1 species
GGGACCAUUCCACGGUUUCCGUGUCGCAGCUAACGCAUUAAGCGCCCCGCCUGGGGAGUACGGCCGCAAGGCUAAAACUCAAAGGAAUUGACGGGGGCCCGCACAAGCGGCGGAGCAUGCGGAUUAAUUCGAUGCAACGCGAAGAACCUUACCAAGGCUUGACAUAUACGAGAACGCUCUAGAAAUAGAGAACUCUUUGGACACUCGUAUACAGGUGGUGCAUGGUUGUCGUCAGCUCGUGUCGUGAGAUGUUGGGUUAAGUCCCGCAACGAGCGCAACCCUCGUUCUAUGUUGCCAGCGGUUCGGCCGGGAACUCAUAGGAGACUGCCGGGGUCAACUCGGAGGAAGGUGGGGAUGACGUCAAAUCAUCAUGCCCCUUAUGUCUUGGGCUUCACGCAUGCUACAAUGGCCGGUACAAAGGGCUGCAAUACCGUAAGGUGGAGCGAAUCCCAAAAAGCCGGUCUCAGUUCGGAUUGAGGUCUGCAACUCGACCUCAUGAAGUCGGAGUCGCUAGUAAUCGCAGAUCAGCAACGCUGCGGUGAAUACGUUCCCGGGCCUUGUACACACCGCCCGUCAAGUCAUGAAAGUCGGUAACACCCGAAGCCGGUGGCCCAACCCUUGUGGAGGGAGCCGUCGAAGGUGGGAUCGGUGAUUAGGACUAAGUCGUAACAAGGUAGCCG